UGGGGACAUCGGGGACACCUGAGGGGACAUUGGGGACAUUGGAGACAUUGAGGGGACACUCUGGGGACACCUGGGGGACACCUGGGGACACCUUGGGGACAUUGGGGACAUCAGGGGGGACAUUGGGAACAACUGGGGACACUUUGGGGACACCUGGGGGACACCUGGGGACAUCGGGGGGGACAUUGAGGACACCUGGGGACACUUUGGGGACACCUUAGGGACAUUGGGGACACCUGGGGGACAUCUGGGGGACAUCGGGGACUUCUGGGGGCAUCGGGGGGACAUUGGGGACAGCUGGGGGACACUUGGGGACAUUGGGGACACCUUGGGGACAUUUGGGGACAUCGGGGACACUGAGGGGACACUUGGGGACACUGAGGGGACACUUGGGGACAUUUGGGGACACUUGGGGACACUUGGGGACAUCGGGGACAGGCUGUCUCACCAGCAGGACCUCGCUGUCCUCCUCCAGCUUCCCCUGCCAGCUGUACCUGGGGACAUCGGGGACACGGCGGGUGGCACCUCCCCUCCCCCGCUGUCCCCAGGCCCUGACACCCUCCCUGUGUCACCAAUGUCACCUCAGUGUCACCUCAGUGUCACCAAUGUCACCUCAGUGUCACCAAUGUCACCCCAGUGUCACCUCAGUGUCACCCCAGUGUCACCAAUGUCACCUCAGUGUCACCAGUGUCACCAAUGUCACCAAUGUCACCCCAAUGUCACCAAUGUCACCCCAGUGUCACCCCAAUGUCACCUCAGUGUCACCUCAGUGUCACCCCAGUGUCACCAAUGUCACCUCAGUGUCACCUCAGUGUCACCAAUGUCACCUCAGUGUCACCCCGGUGUCACCAAUGUCACCAAUGUCACCUCAGUGUCACCUCAGUGUCACCCCAGUGUCACCUCAGUGUCACCCUGAUGUCACCAAUGUCCCCCCAAUGUCCCCGAUGUCCCCUCAGUGUCCCCAAUGUCCCCAAGGUGUCCCCGCUGUCCCCGAUGUCCCCAAGGUGUCCCCGCUGUCCCCACUCACACCGAGGUGUCCCCAAUGUCCCCAAUGUCCCCAAUGUCCCCUCAGUGUCCCCGAUGUCCCCAAGGUGUCCCCGCUGUCCCCAAUGUCCCCAA
rnacentral:lncRNA from 1 species